rnacentral:rRNA from 1 species
GGGCUGCUAAUAAUGCAGUCGACGGUCUUUUCUAUGGAAGCUUGCUUCCACUGAGAAGAUAGUGGCGAACGGGUGAGUAACACGUGGGUAACCUGCCCAUAAGAGGGGGAUAACAUCCGGAAACGGGUGCUAAUACCGCAUAGUUUUCUUGAUCGCAUGAUCGGGAAAGGAAAGACGGCCUUUGUGCUGUCGCUUAUGGAUGGACCCGCGGCGUAUUAGUUAGUUGGUGAGGUAACGGCUCACCAAGACGAUGAUACGUAGCCGACCUGAGAGGGUGAUCGGCCACAUUGGGACUGAGACACGGCCCAAACUCCUACGGGAGGCAGCAGUAGGGAAUCUUCCGCAAUGGACGAAAGUCUGACGGAGCAACGCCGCGUGAGUGAAGAAGGUUUUCGGAUCGUAAAACUCUGUUGUCAGAGAAGAACAAGUUGGAGAGUAACUGCUCCAGCCUUGACGGUAUCUGACCAGAAAGCCACGGCUAACUACGUGCCAGCAGCCGCGGUAAUACGUAGGUGGCAAGCGUUGUCCGGAUUUAUUGGGCGUAAAGCGAGCGCAGGCGGUUCCUUAAGUCUGAUGUGAAAGCCCACGGCUCAACCGUGGAAGGUCAUUGGAAACUGGGGAACUUGAGUGCAGAAGAGGAGAGUGGAAUUCCAUGUGUAGCGGUGAAAUGCGUAGAUAUAUGGAGGAACACCAGUGGCGAAGGCGACUCUCUGGUCUGUAACUGACGCUGAGGCUCGAAAGCGUGGGGAGCAAACAGGAUUAGAUACCCUGGUAGUCCACGCCGUAAACGAUGAGUGCUAAGUGUUGGAGGGUUUCCACCCUUCAGUGCUGCAGCUAACGCAUUAAGCACUCCGCCUGGGGAGUACUGCCGCAAGGCUGAACUCAAAGGAAUUGACGGGGACCCGCACAAGCGGUGGAGCAUGUGGUUUAAUUCGAAGCAACGCGAAGAACCUUACCAGGUCUUGACAUCCUUUGACAUCCUAGAGAUAGGACUUUCCCUUCGGGACAAGUGACACGUGCUGCAUGAUUGUCGUCAGCUCGUGUCGUGAGAUGUUGGGUUAGUCCCGCAACGAGCGCAACCCCUAUUGUUAGUU